GCCAGGUGUGCAGAGUGCAGUGGAAGACAAGAGACUCCAGGAUGGGCAAAGCCAGUAGAGGUCCCUUGCAUUUCCACAUGAAUUUUAGAAUGUCUGCUGCAAUAUGGAUUGGGAUUGAAUUGAAAUGGAUUGAUUCGAAGAGGAAUUGAUGUCUUAUCAACAGAGAAAGCUACUAUGAUAUUGGGAAGGAGCAUGAAGAUCAAGAACCAGAAGAUUCCACUGAAGUAGACGUUUCCAGUGUAUGAGACCUUCAAACCAUCAGGAAAAUGCUAUCAGUUGCUGUAAACAAACCCCAGAUGUCAGUGACUUUCCACAGAUGUCAAUUUCUCACUCACAGGAAGUCCAAUAAAGGUGGUUCUGAGGUGGACAACAUUCAUCAUGGUCUUUCAGGCCAUGAGGAACCAAUGAAGGAUGUUGAGCAUGAGAAUAAUGUGUGCAGGACAUUGUUUUGUAAGAUUCAUGUGCAAGAUAGAUUGAAGAAGAGAAGUGCCAACAGCCAUUUUCAGACUUGGAACACAUGCAACUCUCCCCAAAAAGCCUCAUUAUGGGUUUGAUGACCUGGAACAAACCGUUCAGCUGGUCAAGGAUUCGGAAGAAUGCUCUGAGGAACCAUCAAACGUAAAAAUGAUAGUUCAGAGAUAUGCUUUGGGAAGAUUAAUUCAUAAGGUUAUAUGGAAAAUGGGGGAACAUUUGGAACUGUGCAGACAACUCAGGAGGUCACCACAAUAGUUGAGAUCAGCCUUACUAUUACCUUGAAUUGGUACCUGGAAAUCAGAUUCUGUGGCAUUGGAUUAGCAGUUAAGCUUGAAACCUGGAAUCCUUGGAUGUUGUGGGAAAAUUUUCGAACCAUUCAAGAACAAGCUUCAGACAUGCUGUGCCAUCACCCACAAAUUCUCCAGUGUAUAUUUCCUAAGAACAAGGAUGCUCUGCAAUGUUACCAUCACUCAACUAUUCAUAAAGGAAAUAACCAUCGAUGCAACAAUACUAUCUAAUCCUCAGAUUCCCCCAGAACUUUCCUCCCUGUAUCAACCGUCUUUUUUCUUUCUGGUCCAGGAUCUAUUCCAGGAUUAAACAUUACAUUUACCUUUA